rnacentral:tRNA from 1 species
GCGGAGGUGCCGGAGUGGCCAAAUGAAAAUCGUAGAUUUUCAAAAGUCAGAAAUCUUCGAUUUCAGACCAAACGGGACAGGCUUAGGACCUGUUAGCUUAGUGCUUACUGGGGUUCGAAUCCUCACCUCCGCA